GAUGUACAGCUUCAGGAGUCAGGACCUGGCCUCGUGAAACCUUCUCAGUCUCUGUCUCUCACCUGCUCUGUCACUGGCUACUCCAUCACCAGUGGUUAUUACUGGAACUGGAUCCGGCAGUUUCCAGGAAACAAACUGGAAUGGAUGGGCUACAUAAGCUACGAUGGUAGCAAUAACUACAACCCAUCUCUCAAAAAUCGAAUCUCCAUCACUCGUGACACAUCUAAGAACCAGUUUUUCCUGAAGUUGAAUUCUGUGACUACUGAGGACACAGCCACAUAUUACUGUGCAAGAGA